UACGGAGGGAGCUAGCGUUAUUCGGAAUUACUGGGCGUAAAGCGCACGUAGGCGGCUUUGUAAGUAAGAGGUGAAAGCCUGGAGCUCAACUCCAGAAUUGCCUUUUAGACUGCAUCGCUUGAAUCAUGGAGAGGUGAGUGGAAUUCCGAGUGUAGAGGUGAAAUUCGUAGAUAUUCGGAAGAACACCAGUGGCGAAGGCGGCUCACUGGACAUGUAUUGACGCUGAGGUGCGAAAAGCGUGGGGAGCAAACAGG
rnacentral:rRNA from 1 species